rnacentral:rRNA from 1 species
UGGGGAAUCUUGCGCAAUGGACGAAAGUCUGACGCAGCCACGCCGCGUGAGUGAAGAAGGCCUUCGGGUUGUAAAGCUCUGUCACCUGGGACGAAAACCCCAGAGGUUAACAGCCUCUGGGCUUGACGGUACCAGGGAAGGAAGCACCGGCUAACCUCGUGCCAGCAGCCGCGGUAAUACGUAGGGGGCCAGCGUUGUUCGGAAUUACUGGGUGUAAAGGGUUCGUAGGCGGUGCGGCAAGUUGGGAGUGAAAUCUCUGGGCUCAACCCAGAGUCGGCUUCCAAAACUGCUGUGCUUGAGUGUGAGAGAGGCUCGUGGAAUUGCAGGUGUAGCGGUGAAAUGCGUAGAUAUCUGCAGGAACACCCGUGGCGAAAGCGGCGAGCUGGAUCACUACUGACGCUGAAGAACGAAAGCUAGGGGAGCAAAC